CCCUUAGAUGUUCUGGGCCGCACGCGCGCUACAAUGAUGAAUUCAACGAGUUUAUAACCUUGGUUGAAAAGCCUGGGUAAUCUUUUGAACUUUCGUCGUGAUGGGGCUAGACCCUUGCAAUUAUUGGUCUUCAACGAGGAAUUCCUAGUAGACGUAGUUCAUCAGACUGCAUCGAUUACGUCCCUGCCCUUUGUACACACCGCCCGUCGCUCCUACCGAUUGAAUGCUCAGGUGAGCCAUUCGGACUUUCAUCAUGCUGGUUUCCAGUUUUGAUGAAGGAAAGUCUUGCGAACCUUAUCAUUUAGAGGAAGGAGAAGUCGUAACA
rnacentral:rRNA from 1 species